rnacentral:rRNA from 1 species
CGGUAGCUAAAUGCGGAAGAGAUAAGUGCUGAAAGCAUCUAAGCACGAAACUUGCCCCGAGAUGAGUUCUCCCUGACUCCUUGAGAGUCCUGAAGGAACGUUGAAGACGACGACGUUGAUAGGCCGGAUGUGUAAGCGCAGCGAUGCGUUGAGCUAACCGGUACUAAUGAACCGUGAGGCUUAACCUU